rnacentral:rRNA from 1 species
GACGAACGCUGGCGGCGUGCUUAACACAUGCAAGUCGAACGAAAAGAGGGAAAGAGCUUGCUCUUUCCGGAAUUGAGUGGCAAACGGGUGAGUAACACGUAAACAACCUGCCUUCAGGAUGGGGACAACAGACGGAAACGACUGCUAAUACCGAAUAAGUUCCAAGGGCCGCAUGGUCCAUGGAAGAAAAGGUGGCCUCUACCUGUAAGCUAUCGCCUGAAGAGGGGUUUGCGUCUGAUUAGCUGGUUGGAGGGGUAACGGCCCACCAAGGCGACGAUCAGUAGCCGGUCUGAGAGGAUGAACGGCCACACUGGAACUGAGACACGGUCCAGACUCCUACGGGAGGCAGCAGUGGGGAAUCUUCCGCAAUGGGCGAAAGCCUGACGGAGCAACGCCGCGUGAGUGAUGACGGCCUUCGGGUUGUAAAACUCUGUGAUCCGGGACGAAAAGGCAGAGUGCGAAGAACA